ensembl:misc_RNA Metazoa_SRP Metazoan signal recognition particle RNA
GCCAGGUGUGGUGGCGUGCACCUGUAGUCCUAGCUACUCAGGAGGCUGUGGCAGGAGGAUCACUUGUUCCUAGGAGUUUAGGGCUGCAGUGAGCUAUGACUGCACCACUGCACUCCAGCCUAGGAGACAAGCGAGAACCUGUCUCUA